AACAUACCGAAAGGUAUGCUAAUACGAGAUAAUAUGCUUUUAUCGCAUGGUAGAAGUAUCAAAGCUCCGGCGGUACAGGAUGGACCCGCGUCUGAUUAGCUAGUUGGUGAGGUAACGGCUCACCAAGGCGACGAUCAGUAGCCGACCUGAGAGGGUGAUCGGCCACAUUGGAACUGAGACACGGUCCAAACUCCUACGGGAGGCAGCAGUGGGGAAUAUUGCACAGUGGGCGAAAGCCUGAUGCAGCAACGCCGC
rnacentral:rRNA from 1 species